rnacentral:rRNA from 1 species
CGCGUAGGCGGUUGACACAGUCAGGCGUGAAAUUCCUGGGCUUAACCUGGGGGCUGCGCUUGAUACAUGUUGACUUGAGUGUGGAAGAGGGUCGUGGAAUUCCCAGUGUAGAGGUGAAAUUCGUAGAUAUUGGGAAGAACACCGGUGGCGAAGGCGGCGACCUGGUCCAUUACUGACGCUGAGGCGCGAAAGCGUGGGGAGCAAACAGGAUCAGAUACCCUGGUAGUCCACGCUGUAAACGAUGUGUGCUGGAUGUUGGGUGGCCUAGCCAUUCAGUGUCGUAGCUAACGCGGUAAGCACACCGCCUGGGGAGUACGGCCGCAAGGUUGAA